CGGAGGCGAAGUAGGCUAGGCCAAACAAGAUCCAGAACCACACCAGGGGCUGAUAGGCUGGAGAGUCCUGACUGGUGCCAUCACCUAAACGGUUCACAGGGAGGGAAAAAGAUGCUUAUAUGUAUGCGCUCAAAUCCAUCUGACUUCAUGCGGUGCCCAAUAAGCAUGACUGAAGAAGCCAAGUACUAGCCUUUCCUGCCUGCCUGCGGAUCCUCCAGGGGAAGAGUCUGUGUCUGGAAAGAGCUUGCUUGCAUCAGAGCACCAGAAAAGGAUGUGAAGGGGACACCCUUCCCCGAAUUAAACAAGGAGAGAAUCCACAGGGAAGUUCACAGCCUGUCUCACAUCCCUGAUGACAGUCCCCAUUGGCAAGACCCACUUGGAUUUCACCCUCCCUAGAGUAACUGCUGCAAACCCUCAAGGCUCUGCUUCGUCCAAAGGAGAGUCUAGACUCUGUAGUCCAGCAUUUAUUUAUUUAUUUAUUAUUUUGAGGAAAUGCCUCAUGUGGCCUAGGCUAGUCUCUUAACUCACUUCUAGUCAAAGAUGGCCUUUAACUCCUGGUCUUCUACUAAGUGCUGGAAUUCUAGGCGUGAGCUACCCUGACCAGUUUUUGCAUUGCUGGAGAGCUAACCCAAGCCUGCAGCAGGCUAGGUAAGUACUCUACCAGCUAAGCCACAGCCCCUCCCCACUCUCUGUUGGAGGUUUGUUUGAUUUUGUUUUGAAUGAUGGGGUCGGGUCCUAUUCAGUAGCCCAAGCUAACCCGGACCUCAUAACAAUCCUCCUUCCUCAGCCUGCAAGCUGAGAUUACAGGUUUGAGCCACAAGCACUUUUUCCAAACUAGUCUCAACCUUUUCCCAGGUUCUGAUUUUUUGCACCCCAAAAAUACAGCAACCUUCUUCCCAGAUUUUCUGAGGUGGUGUCAUUUUCUAUAAUGAUGAUUUUUGAAAUAAGGAUGUGAACUGUCUGAUUAAAAGUGAUUUAACUUUUUUAUAUGUCUUUUUUUUUCUUGCAUGUAUGUAUGUAUGUGUAUCAUGAGCACGCUGGUGCCAACAGAGGCCCGAAGGAGGUGUCAGGUUCUCCAGACCCACUGGAUGCUAGGAACCACAGUCCCACAGAAGAACAACAAGUGCUCCAAACUGCCUAACCAUCUCACCAGCCCCAGGAAGACGACAUUCCGGGAGCACAGCCUGGUGCCAGCCAAGACAAGCAACAGCAUGGCCAGCAUACUGCAAACAGACACCGGGACCCCAGCUCCUGCUCAACAGCCCUGGGGGAGAUGCCAGGACCUACCCUGUCCUCAG